UAUCUGGGGUGUUCGAGGCUCUGCAAUUUUGAACCUACAUUUUUUUGACAGGGAAACUGCGUAUUCCGGGAUAUGUCAGGCCUCCUUAGCAGUGGAAGACAGAAGAGGGAAUCAGGUUACCCACCUGGCUAAGCGCUAGGCGUCAAAAAUGCAGAAACGGCACUUUGGAGGUU
rnacentral:other from 1 species